AUUGAACGCUGGCGGCAUGCCUUACACAUGCAAGUCGAACGGUAACAGGUCUUCGGAUGCUGACGAGUGGCGAACGGGUGAGUAAUACAUCGGAACGUGCCCAGUAGUGGGGGAUAACUCCUCGAAAGAGUGGCUAAUACCGCAUGAGAUCUACGGAUGAAAGCAGGGGAUCGCAAGAACUUGUGCUACUAGAGCGGCCGAUGGCAGAUUAGGUAGUUGGUGGGAUAAAAGCUUACCAAGCCGACGAUCUGUAGCUGGUCUGAGAGGACGAUCAGCCACACUGGGACUGAGACACGGCCCAGACUCCUACGGGAGGCAGCAGUGGGGAAUUUUGGACAAUGGGCGCAAGCCUGAUCCAGCAAUGCCGCGUGCAGGAUGAAGGCCUUCGGGUUGUAAACUGCUUUUGUACGGAACGAAAAGCCCCGGGUUAAUACCCUGGGGUCAUGACGGUACCGUAAGAAUAAGCACCGGCUAACUACGUGCCAGCCGCCGCCGUAA
rnacentral:rRNA from 1 species